rnacentral:lncRNA from 1 species
UGAUCACUGGAGUCUUGCGGGUCCCUCAGGCCACACAGGGACAAGCAAAGGCUACAUCCAGAUACCAGGAAUGCACUGACGCCCGUUCCUGGAAGCCUGCCUCCCACUCAGCCCGUGGGAUCAGCAGCCGCUGACCCCUCGGGAGUUCCAUCUCCGCCCUGCUGAGCCACCCGGGUUCAGCCAGGAUCCCGGCAGGCUGACACCAUCCUCCACUGAGACCUGAAAAAUGGCUUCGGGGCAAGGCCCAGGUCCUCCCAGGCAGGAGUGCGGAGAGCCUGACCCACCCUCUGCUUCUGAGGAGCAGGUAGCCCGGGACACGGAGGAAGUUUUCCACAGCUACGUUUUUUACCGCCAUCGGCAGGAACAGGAGGCUGAAGGGGCGGCUGCCCCUGCUGACCCAGAGAUGGUUAGCUUGUCUCUCCAACCUAGCAGCACCAUGGGGCAGGUGGGACGGCAGCUCGCCAUCAUUGGGGAUGACAUCAACCGGCGCUAUGACUCGGAGUUCCAGACCAUGCUGCAGCACC